AGCUUUAAUUUAGGAAUAAUGUGUUUGUUUAGCAUAAGUACCAACACUAGUUGAUCCUAUUGAUGACAAAAUUGAUUUUCUUGCAAGAUCGAUUUGUGUCCAUCUAGUGUUGACACUUAGCUUUAAAUUUAGAAAUAAUAAAUUUGUUAAGCAUAAAUAUCAACACUAGUUGAUCCUAUUGAUGACAAAAUUGAUUUUCUUGCAAGAUCGAUUUGUGUCCAUCUAGUGUUGACACUUAGCUUUAAAUUUAGAAAUAAUAAAUUUGAUAAGCAUAAAUAUCAACACUAGUUGAUCCUAUUGAUGACAAAAUUGAUUUUCUUGCAAGAUCGAUUUGUGUCCAUCUAGUGUUGACACUUAGCUUUAAAUUUAGAAAUAAUAUAUUUGUUAAGCA
rnacentral:lncRNA from 1 species